UACGGGGGGGGCAAGCGUUGUUCGGAAUUACUGGGCGUAAAGGGCUCGUAGGCGGCCAACUAAGUCAGACGUGAAAUCCCUCGGCUUAACCGGGGAACUGCGUCUGAUACUGGAUGGCUAGAGGUUGGGAGAGGGAUGCGGAAUUCCAGGUGUAGCGGUGAAAUGCGUAGAUAUCUGGAGGAACACCGGUGGCGAAGGCGGCAGCCUGGACCAAUUCUGACGCUGAGGAGCGAAAGCCAGGGGAGCAAACGGG
rnacentral:rRNA from 1 species